AACGAACCUAACGGAUUUGCUAUUAAUGGCUACAACGGCGGUACCUUUGCGCCGGGGCGGUGUUCUAACUAUGAGGGUAACUGCACUUCCGGUAACUCAGCGACUGAACCCUACAUUGCGGCACACCAUUUGCUUCUUGCUCAUUCAGCUGCUGUCAAGAUAUACAAGGACAAAUAUCAAGUACUGUAACCCUAGCUGCAUUCGUUAUAUAUUUGAAUAUUACGAUGAAUACGUGAAUAUAGAUAUAUAACUUGAAUUAACGAACUAAUGUGAAUAUAUGUAAGCAGGCUACCCAAAAGGGACAGAUCGGGAUUACCAUAGUGACUCACUGGUGGAAACCUAAGUUCCCAGAACAGCUGGCUAGCCGAAGAGCCACUCUUAGAUCACUCGACUUUAUGUUUGGAUGGUGAGGCUAGCUGCUUAAAUAUUAAGACGUAAUUCUUCUGUAAAACUUCAUGUGUUGAUUUUGUAUGAAUUUUCAAUAUCUUGUAGGUUUGCCAAUCCUAUAUUUCAUGGGGAUUAUCCGGCGGUCAUGAAAUCUUUGGUCGGGGAUCGAUUGCCGAAAUUUACAGAAGCUGAGUCGAAGCAGAUAAAAGGCUCCCUCGAUUUUCUUGGGUUGAAUUACUACACAGCAUAUUACACAGUUGAUGAACCAGCUUUAUCCAACGCUGUCAACCAUAGUUGGAGUGCAGACAGACAAGUCGGUGCUUCUACUAGUAUGCAUCCAUCAAUCAUUAAUCCCCACACGUACCAUAUAUAAUAACUAAGUUCAACUGCUAUUCGAUUCUAACACAUCUAAAUCUAUUUUGUUGUCACAGCUGAUAAAAAUGGGGCUCUUAUUGGUGCAGCGGUAUGUACUAAUUCAUUCUCUCUAGCUCUAUGGUAUACGUUCAAGUUAUUCAUUUAGAUACUGAUGUUUACAAUUAUGUGGUAAACAUGCAGACUGAUCUGGAUUGGCUUUUCGUUUAUCCGAAAGGGAUCAGAGAGGUUCUUUUGUAUAUAAAGGAGAAGUACAAUAACCCAAACAUUUAUAUUACUGAGAAUGGUAAAACGAUCGAUUCUCUUAUAUAUAACCAUAUAUUACAUGAUUAAUUUUAGUAUUUUAUGCAUGCUAAGAUUGUAUAUAAUUUUGCAGGAUAUGCAUACGGAUAUAAUGCCUCAACACCAAUUCAAGAAGCUCGUAAGGAUAAUUUGAGGAUAAGAUACCAUCACGACCAUUUGUGGUAUCUUUUGAAGGCUAUUAAGUGAGUCACACUCGUUCAUGUAGUGCAUGGUUUUUGGUAUAAUUUAUAAUUAGAGAUUGAGUUAAUAAUUAUUCGAUUAAUUGUUAUUGAUUGAAUAUUUCAGGGAUGGGGUAAAAGUGAAGGGAUACUACGCAUGGUCAUUUUGGGAUGACUUCGAAUGGGAUGCUGGUUACACAGUUGGGUUUGGCCUAACAUUAGUUGAUGUCAAGGAUAAUCUGAAAAGAUACCUCAAGUAUUCUGCCUAUUGGUACAAGAUGUUCCUCCUGCACUGAUAUGCUGGCUUAUGGAUUGAUCCAUCACCUAGCCUGCGGAUCAUACCUCUCUAUCUACUCCAAAUAAAUUGAGCAAUAAUUUCCCAAUAAUUUCCUUAUGUAUGUCAUCUACCUAGCUAUAUGUAUGUAUCUUCAGCUAGCUCUCAUCAAUAAGAACUAUUGGUCCGCUUUAAUUGUGUUUUUCUGGUAGAGAGUUUCAAUUUAUGCACAUACUUAAGUGGGAACUACCAUAUAGUUAAAUUAUCAAUUCAAAUAGCUAGUUUUGUUUACUGUAUCAUUAUGUAAGUAAUGAAAUUAUAUACAUACUGAAGAAACGACAAACCAGCAACCAUCAAGUUUCGUGACAGGAACCAGAUCCGGAUCUGGAGCUCGAGAAGCCGCGAUCUUGCAUUCACGGCGUUGGCCAAAACCUUCGAUCCGCCAACUCCAGUUCGACCAUCGACCCUCUGCCGCGCAAGACCUCCUUUGCUCCACCCCCAUCUAUCCUCCCGCCGCGCCUUCGCCUCCGAUGCAGCAGCCGAAAAAUCGCUUCGGUUGAGAACCCGAUCUGCUCAAAACCCAUAAUCGAGCCACAAACAUAACCCAUGAAUCGUCUUCCCGUCCGGCCGCCCUCCACGUGCAUCGGCUCGGCCAUCGACCGCUACCGGUGCCGCGGCGCAACCGGACGAGAUAAAGAGGAGAAGGUGUUUUCAGAAAGUUUUAGAGAGGCGCGCGUGUGAGGCGCGUUCUAGAUCCCCUAUCCUCAUCCUUUGAUAAAGCUGACUCGAAAGAGAUGUUACGACUGAAAAAUAAACUACUUUUUAUGAAAAUUGAAUUCGACUUUUUUCUUUUUUUCUUUUUCCAGAUUUCUUUAUCCAAUAAAGUUCAGACUUGAGAGACUUUUCACAUGUAUAAUCAUUUUGAAUUCGGAUUUGGGAAUACAAGUGAAAAAACCUGAAUCAUAAAAUCAUCACGAGUAUGCUAUCAAGCUCUGAAUGAUCAUGACAGUACAAACACGUGUAUCAUAUUUAUUUUGGUCUGUGUGACAUGAUUUAUUUUUCUUGUUUGGAU
rnacentral:lncRNA from 1 species